AUAAAGCAAUUUUACAAGGAUGCAUAGAGGGUUCACUUACUACUUCUGGAAUGCAAUAGGAAGGAUAUUUGGUUAUCACCUAACUUAGUCUUUUUAUUUCCAAAGAGGCUAAGAGAAAAGAUUAUUUUACCAUGAAUAAGUGACAACAUCCUUACACAGGGAGCAUUAACAAUAAGAAAAGAUACAAGUAUCUCAGAACCCCACCAAGUUUUAUCUGCCCAUUUGUACUGAUGCUUUUCUAAGGAUUUAUGUUUUGCUUAGAGUUCAGAUUUUUACUUCUUUCCAAUGUCUUCAGCCUAAAGGAAAAUUCCUGGUCUCUGGAAUUGUGUUCUUUAUGAUGGUGACCCACUGGAGCUAUGGCCCAUGCUGUGGCAACAGAGGAAUGAAAUCAGCACAAAAAUAGAGGCUUUCAUCUGCUGUAGAGGUUUUCAUUGCUGUUUUUCUCUCUUCAUUUGUCUGAUGGUAAACCAAACCAUACCUGUUCCUGGAAACUGCAUUGGCCAAUUAAGGGUAAAAGAAGAAUUUUUCAUCUGCAGAAUUUCUUUAGAAAGUUAUCACAGCGGCUAGAAGUCAUUUGUACAGAGGUCUGGUUUUAAAAAAAAGUGGGUGGAAAGAAUGGGAAGUAACCCUUUCUUGGUAGGAUUGCAGUGUAUUUGCUCCUGGAAUUAGUAACAAUGAUGAAUUGUUACACAAUGAUGGGGAAGUUCUUAAUGGGUGAUCUAGAGAGACAUUGUAGCUGGACUUUGCUCUGCUCCUGUUUUCUCACCUACUUUACCUCUCCUGGUUGUGAUCACUGCUGGAAAAAUGACACAACUGGGCAGAUAGGAACAAUUCUAAAUAUGAUCUCGGUGCUCACCUGGCCCUCAGUCCUGUCAUUCAGCACAAUUUACCACAUCUGUGCUAUGCCACUUAUUCAUAUUUCACAGAAAAAAUAAUCACUGCACUGAUGACUUGUCUAACCAAAUUCAUUAUUGACCUCUAGAUCACAAAUACAAAAAAAUCUUUUCAGUCCUCUUCUUUUAUAUAUAUGCACAGAAUUUUAUGGCUUCAUGUUUUAUGUUUAGAUCUUUAAUCCAUUUCAAGUUUACUUUUGUGUAUGGAGUUAGACAGUAAUCCAGUUUCAUUCUUUUGCAUGUAGCCAUCCAA